CUACGGGAGGCACCAGUGGGGAAUUUUGCGCAAUGGGGGGAACCCUGACGCAGCAAUACCGCGUGAGUGAAGAAGGCCUUUGGGUCGUAAAGCUCUUUUCUGAAGGAAGAUAGUGACGGUACUUCAGGAAUAAGCACCGGCUAACUCCGUGCCAGCAGCCGCGGUAAUACGGAGGGUGCGAGCGUUGUUCGGAUUUACUGGGCGUAAAGGGCACGUAGGCGGCCUGGCAAGUUAAGGGUGAAAUCCCGGGGCUUAACUCCGGAACUGCUCUUAAAACUGCCAAGCUAGAGAUAGUCAGAGGCGGGUGGAAUUCCUGGUGUAGAGGUGAAAUUCGUAGAUAUCAGGAGGAACACCGGUGGCGAAGGCGGCCCGCUGGGGCUAUUCUGACGCUAAGGUGCGAAAGCGUGGGGAGCGAACGGGAUUAGAUACCCGCGUAGUC
rnacentral:rRNA from 1 species